GUCCACGCCGUAAACGAUGGACACUAGCUGUUGGGACGCAAGUCUCGGCGGCCAAGCGAAAGUGAUAAGUGUCCCACCUGGGGAGUACGUUCGCAAGAAUGAAACUCAAAGGAAUUGACGGGGGCCCGCACAAGCGGUGGAGCAUGUGGUUUAAUUCGAUGAUACGCGAGGAACCUUACCAGGGCUUAAAUGUGGAUUGACAGGUUUAGAGAUAGACCCUCCUUCGGGCAAUUCACAAGGUGC
rnacentral:rRNA from 1 species